rnacentral:rRNA from 1 species
AUCAACUUUCGAUGGUAGGAUAGAGGCCUACCAUGGUGGUAACGGGUAACGGGGUGUUAGGGCACGACACCGGAGAGGGAGCCUGAGAAACGGCUACCACAUCCAAGGAUGGCAGCAGGCGCGCAAAUUACCCAAUCCCGACACGGGGAGGUAGUGACAAUAAAUAACAAUACGGGGUCCUUUGGGUCUCGUAAUUGGAAUGAGUACAAUUUAAAUCUCUUAACGAGGAACAAUUGGAGGGCAAGUCUGGUGCCAGCAGCCGCGGUAAUUCCAGCUCCAAUAGCGUAUAUUAAAGUUGUUGCAGUUAAAAAGCUCGUAGUUGAAUUUCGGGAUUAGUAGGUUGGUCGUGCCUCUGGUAUGUACUCGCCUUACUGGUUCCUCCUUCUUGAAGAACUGUAAUGCCAUUAAUUUGGUGUUGCAGGGAAAUAGGACUGUUACUUUGAAAAAAUUAGAGUGUUUAAAGCAGGCCAACGCCUGAAUACUACAUUAGCAUGGAAUAAUGAAAUAGGACGUUGAUCCUAUUUUGUUGGUUUCUAGGAUUGACGUAAUGAUUAAUAGGGAUAGUUGGGGGCAUUAGUAUUCAAUUGUCAGAGGUGAAAUUCUUGGAUUUAUUGAAGACUAACUACUGCGAAAGCAUUUGCCAAGGAUGUUUUCAUUAAUCAAGAACGAAAGUUAGGGGAUCGAAGACGAUCAGAUACCGUCGUAGUCUUAACCAUAAACUAUGCCGACUAGGGAUCGGAUGAUGUUAAUUUUUUAAUGACUCAUUCGGCGCCUUACGGGAAACCAAAGUGUUUGGGUUC